AUGCGUUGCACUCACUGGGCACAGGAAUCAGGAGAAAAAGAUUUCACUGUGACUGAGAAAUCUCUAGAAACCUUUUAUUCUUUCCAGGAGCCCCUCUGGGACACAACCUUCAAAAUCACCCCCAAGACAUCUCAUCUUUUACCAGGGUAUGUGGCAAAAACUGUGAGCUACAGGAAAAGAACUAAUAAAUGCCAUGCAAAAAUAAAGGCCCUCUGCCUUUCUAACAAAAGUUGCCAAUCAAACGUCAGAAAAUGUAUGGGCACACUCCUGUAUGCAUAUGCACGUGCAGGCAUGCGUGCACACCCGUGCACCAGGACAACGUGCUAUUAUACAGAAGCUUCAGAUGAUCUUUUAAUACCGUGUCUUCUGAUGACACAAUGCCCCAUUUUUCUGUUUUAA
rnacentral:lncRNA from 1 species